rnacentral:lncRNA from 1 species
CUGCAUAAACAAUUUUUGUAGUGUAAAAGUAAAAUAAAUUCAUAUAUAUAAUAGCACACUAAACCAUGUAUUCAAAAUAUUCUACAAUGACAUGUGGGCCCCAAUAUAACCGUAAAUAUACAAGACUGUAGACCUUCGAUUUCUAAGGAUGUAAUCCAAAAGCAACCCUCGACAAAAUCGAUUGUCUACAGACUGUCCUGAGCCUGAAAUGGGUAAAAAGAAGGGGUGAGUUUUUAUAAACCCAGUGAGUAAGCAAAGUUCAUCUCCAACAUCUAAAGCCGAGUAAAUGGAGACAGUUAAAUCAUCCCAUCAUAAUAUAAUUCAUAACAUUCCAAAACUCAUUUCAAUUCAUAUAAAACAAUCUCAUUUCAUCAAAAUAAUCAACAAGGCUUAUGAUUCUCUUAAAAACUUGGCUUGUGCCAAAACUCAUACUCGGGGACACCUUGGCCUAGGCAUCCAACCGAGUCUGCCAAGGAUGUUAAAAUGACAUAUACUCAUAAAACAUGUUUUUACUUUUAAAAUAUAGUCAUUAUUUGGCGUUGGCUGAGUUUCAUCCUCACGUGGUGGUUCGGCAUGAAGUGAACUCUAAACUUACCUUAGGAGAUACCCUCCGCGCCUUUCGUACUAAGGUAAAAUAUAACAGGGUUUACCGUGCCCCUCUAAUAGGCUGGUCCACGAAAACCCGCCCACUACAGUAAGCUAAUCAAAUAACUCACCAAAUCAAUAAAGAUUUCAACAGCAUGACAUGGCUAAUAUAAUAGUACCCAGCUUGUCAAGGUAAAACAAAAUAGUUUAUAUAAUCCACAAACCACAAAUCCAGCCAUUCAUGCCAUCACAUUGUCAUAAGCCAUCAAUUCAAACCAUAUAUAUAUAUAGAUAACACAAGUAUAUAGUCUCCAAUUACUCAAUUUCCAAAAUCAUCAUUGAAUUGCAAAACAAUUUAUAAAUCUCAUUCAUUUAACCAUCACUUAACUUAUAAAACAUAAAAUUCUAUGGUUUAAGUUCAUUAUUCUUUAAAAUCAUAGAAACGAAUAUAAACUACUUUAUAUAGUUAAGAUGAACAUUUGAUUUCUCACAAUAACAGGAGUUUGGAGUACUCCUAUUCUUGGUCCUCGGGUACGAUAUCUUUACCUUUGUAAAGCCCGACCUUAUAAAAUACUAUUCAUGACAUACAUGUGAUGAUAGCAUGAUUGCAUGCUAGGAGAGUCCUGAAAAAUUUACAAAAGUCGGUAUUGUACCUAGAGGUACAACAAAGUUUAUUUAAUCCUCGAACUAGAUCACAUAGGAAUUUUAAGGUGAGAUUAAGAGUUUCACAGUUCAUGGAUGACUUAAAAUGGUAAUUUGGAGUUUGAGGAUCAAUUUGGAGUCAAAUUGGAAUUUUCACUAACUAGGGGUAAAAUGGUCAUUUGCCACCUGGGGAUAAAAUGGGAAUUUUAGAAAAGAUUUUUUGACCCCAUUUGACUUAUUGGAGUAUAAUUUGACUUAUUGGAGUAUGAUUUGAGGUUUAGAAGUGAAAAAUUUUAAUUUCGGUAUAAUUUGGAGUAAAAGGGUAAAAUGGUAAUUUUGCCACCUCAGGGGCAAAAUUGUAAUUUUCCACCACCAGGAUAUUUUUUCCAGCACAUGGUCUUCCUUUGUCUUCAUCUUUGACCCUUGACUAAACAUGUGGUGGAGAUAAAAUGUUUAAAUUUUUAAAAUUUUAAAAACGGGCCAAUGACAUGAUGCCAUGUGUCAUGCCUUUAUUAAUUUAUUAUUUUCCUUUUUAAAAGGCACAAAAUCAGCCCAUCUUCCACCCCAUGGCCGGCCAAACCAGCAAGAAGAGAGAGAAAACAAAAACAAAACCCUAGAGAGAGAAAAUCAAAGAAAAAGUGUGAAUUUUCAAGGAAAUUAAGUGAAAAAGGUGAGUUUUUUCUAUUAAGCUUGAGUUUUCUUAUUCCCAAGCAUUUCUCUUUAUUUUCCAUGAUUAAAUUACAUGUUUUCAUGAUGAAUUCAAUUCUGAAAAAAUGGGUUAGGAGAGAGAAAGUUGUUGGAUUUAUUUGAUUUUAAUUUAUGUUAGUGUUUUUAGUUAGUUUAGCAUAUUUAGAAACAAAACAACAAGAAAAGAAUUUAUUUUCUCCCCCAACCAUUAAUGGCUGAAUUUACCAUGUAGUGAGUGAGGAUGAGUUUGAUUUUAUUCUAGGAGAAUUGGUUAAGGAAUAAUGAAUUAUGAGCCUAGAAAAAUAAUGGGAAUUUUCGGAGCAAAAAUACGAAUUUUUACCCACUAGGGGUAUUUUCGUAAUUUGCUGUUGGGACUGAUAAUUUGCACCACACUGAGGGACAUUAAGUUAAUUUGGGUGCAAUUGAGGUAUAGAAACUGAAAAGAAUUAAAUUGGAGUUUAAACGGACCCGUUAGGAAUUUAAUCGGGUGAUAAGACGAAUUAGGCCAAUACCGGGUUUAGAUAGUUACCAGUGCAUUUUUGCAUUCCAUAUCAUGCAUUGGUAGUCUAAAUUAGUUUAAUUUUGAUUUAGUACCAACUUGGUGAAACUCUCGAUUUUGUACUGUGUCAAGGUGGUGAGUCCUCCGAUAAAGGCAAGGAAAUUGCAUCCGAGGACCAGUAGACAGAGUGCUUCGAAAGUCUGCAUUCUAGACAUUGUGAGUAAACUUACUGUCAUUUUAAUUAUCUAGGGUGGUUUUUAGAUGCUUUCAUGAAUUCUAUGGAAAAAGGAAUUUAAAAAGAUAAAUUUUCAUGUUUUAUGAAUAAAUGAGUUUCAAUGAAAUUAAAUUAUAAAUUGUUUUGAAAUUAAUAGUGAUUUUGAAAAAUAGAGUACACGGAGACUGUUAAUUGUGGCAAAUUUGAUUGUUUAAAUUGACUGGCUUAUGAUAAAUCGAACAUGAUUGGCUAGUUGGCAAUUGUAUUGAAAUGCGAAUUGUUUGGUUGCCUUGAAAAACUCGAAUUACAAAAUUGCCAUAUCAUGUUAUUGAGUUUUAUUAUAUGGUGGAUUAUAUAUUAAUUAAUCACUGUAAUAGGGGGUUUCUGUGGACCAGCCUUUUAGAGGGGCACGGUAAACCCCAUUAUAUUUUUACCUCGAAAGGAGAGGCGCGUAGGGUAUCUCCUAGGGUAAAGUUUAGGGUUCACUUCACGCUAAACCACCACGUGAGGGGGAACUCAGCCAACGUCAGGGAACGACUAUGUUUUCAAAACAAAAACAUGAUUUAUGUGAAAUGUGAAUUUUAAUAGCCUUGGCGGUCUCGGUAGGAUGCCUCGGCCAAGGUGUCCCCGAGAAUGGAUUUAUGGCACAAGCCUAGAUUUUUAUGAGAUUCAUAAGCCUUUUUACGUAUUUUGAACGAGAUGUGUUCUAAUUAUAUAACCCAGUUUAUGAUGAUUUACUUUAUUGUCUCUAUGUACUCAACUCUAGAUGUUUAUGAUGAUGUCUGUUUACUCAUUGAGAUUUUAUAAUCUCACCACCCUCCUUUCCACCCAUUUCAGGUUCAGUAUAGACUGUAGAUAGCUGAUCUCAUCGAGGACUACAAUGGGAUCUGCAUUUUCCAAACCGUAGGUUCACAGUCCUCUUUACUUUUGUUUAUUCGGGGGCUCUCUUGUUAUUGUAAAUUAAAUUAAAUAUUUUGGCUUACUGUAUUUAAGUAUGUAUAAAUUUAUUUAGCUUUUACGCUAUAAAAAUUAUUCACGUAUAACUCUAUAAAUAUUAUUUUAUAAGAAAAUAGAAUAUUUUACUUAAUAUUUCUUUUAUUUUCUUAUUAUAUUCAAAUAACCAUAAUUUCGUUUUAAAUGAAGAUUUUAGACUUUUAAACUCAUUUUGAAUAUGAAUUAUCUGUUUUGUACUUGUAUAUUACGUUUUAGCCAGUUUCGAAAUCUUUAAAAAAAUGACCAAAAUACCCUUGUGAGAUGAAAAAAAUUAAUAUUUUAUUUGUUUAAAGUUGGAAACAGCUUAAAAUAUUUUAGAACACGAUAUUUGACAAUGGUUGCUCACAAGGGAACAGAGAAACUGAUAGUAAAGCCUUGCGGGGUUUCGGGUUGACAUUCCGAGCAACAAGUGUCUACCGAGACACCGCGGCGGUUGUCACCGGCUCGAGGGGAGUACCGGGUCGUGACAACCUUUAUCAGAGGGCUCACCACCUAUACAUAAUACACGACACGUAAUUCAAUAUAUUUAUGCCAAACUGUUAUAAAACUAUUUCAGGCUCUAUAUGAAUGCAUGAAAUUGAAUGAGCAUUGUUCGAAUAAUCACUUAAGGACGGUGUUCUACGUGGGUUCAAUUAAGAUCAGACUGAAUUUGUAUUCGACCUAACUCAAACUAUACACUGUUGAAUUAACCAAAACAUCCGAUUCAACUUUAAAUAUAUUCAUUACACUUCCAAUAUUCCAAAUACACCAAAGUACCUCAAUGAGCUUGAUUGUGACUUAAUUCAUCAUAACUGAAAUUCAUUCCGAUUUCGACCUAGCGUGCUAAUCAGUGCUAACACAGUCCAAUAAAUCCAUCUACAUCAUUAGGAAUCAAAUCCAUCAUCAACAUGUCAUCUAAAAAAAUUCGACCAAAGAGGGUUGUUGAAGGGCAUGUGAUUUUCUUGCUUGUUUUUUAUGCCAAACAUCAUCAAACAACUAAAAAUACUAAGUUAUCAUGAAAUCUAACAAAAUCUACCAUCAAAACCUCUCUCCCUAUGUUCAGCCAGCAAGUAUUCCCUCAUGGAAACUUGUGUUUCAUCCAUAGAAAAUGAAAAAGAAAACAUGAGAAAUGUAGAUCUUAAGCUAAAAUUGAAAAAUCUUACCUUUGAUUGCUUUGUUCUUUGAAAUUCAACAAAUUUCUCUUGAAUUUUCCUCUCUAGGGUUUGUUUCUAUUCUUUUCUCUUUGUUCUUUGCUUUGGCCGGC